rnacentral:rRNA from 1 species
AGCNGCCUNACAUGCAGUCGAGCGGAACGAUUCUAGCUUGCUAGAAGGCGUCGAGCGGCGGACGGGUGAGUAAUGCAUGGGAAUCUGCCCGAUAGUGGGGGACAACCUGGGGAAACUCAGGCUAAUACCGCAUACGUCCUACGGGAGAAAGCAGGGGAUCUUCGGACCUUGCGCUAUCGGAUGAGCCCAUGUCGGAUUAGCUUGUUGGUGAGGUAACGGCUCACCAAGGCGACGAUCCGUAGCUGGUCUGAGAGGAUGAUCAGCCACACUGGGACUGANACACGGCCCANACUCCUACGGGAGGCAGCAGUGGGGAAUAUUGGACAAUGGGCGAAAGCCUGAUCCAGCCAUGCCGCGUGUGUGAANAAGGCCUUCGGGUUGUAAAGCACUUUCNNCGAGGAAGAACGCUUCGGGAUUAAUACUCCCGAGGAAAGACAUCACUCGCAGAAGAAGCACCGGCUAACUCCGUGCCANCAGCCGCGGUAAUACGGAGGGUGCAAGCGUUAAUCGGAAUUACUGGGCNUAAAGCGCGCNUANGUGGCUAAGUCCCCCAGGUGUGAAAU